GGGGUUGACAGGAUUUGACAGCGGGUUGAGAUGGUACGUAAGCACGCGGAGGCUUCUUGGUUCCCUCCAUAAUCUGAGUCAGGGAAAAAUUAAUUGGCGAAACACGUUACGCUCUCGCUGCCUAAUCGAAGUACAGUAGAUUACUGGCUUUAUUCCGUCACCAGGUGAUGGAACGAGACGUCGCUCCGAGGAUGUUGUUCCGAAUCCAAAGAUCCAGCGGCGCAGGUUAAAUCGGAAAUAGUCCGUGUAGGCUCCGAUGCAUGGAUGAAAAUUUAGGAGCUAAGGUGUCAGUUGGUGGUCCAGGUCUUGCUGACGCUCGAAAACCGAAGUCUGGAAUAAGCGUGUAGAAAGCGUAUGGUUUCCCUGUUUGGACGAGGGUUCGACUCCCUCCAGCUCCACCA
rnacentral:tmRNA from 1 species